GUCGAACGCGCAGUUUUGUGUAGCAAUACACGAGGCGGGCGCGUGGCGAACGGGUGCGUAACACGUGGGCAACCUUCCUUCCGGUGGGGGAUACCCCCGCGAAAGCGGGACUAAUACCGCAUAACAUUCCUUUGGUUACGACUGAGGGAAUCAAAGCCGUAAGGCGCAGGAAGAGGGGCCCGCGGCCGAUUAGCUUGUUGGCGAGGUAACGGCUCACCAAGGCAUUGAUCGGUAGCCGGUCUGAGAGGAUGGCCGGCCACACUGGAACUGAGACACGGUCCAGACUCCUACGGGAGGCAGCAGUGGGGAAUCUUGCGCAAUGGGCGAAAGCCUGACGCAGCGACGCCGCGUGGGGGAUGAAGCUUUUCGGAGCGUAAACCCCUUUCGACCCGGACGAAAACCCGCAAGGGUCUGACGGUACGGGUAGAAGAAGCCCCGGCUAACUACGUGCCAGCAGCCGCGGUAAAACGUAGGGGGCCAGCGUUGCUCGGAAUUACUGGGCGUAAAGGGUCCGUAGGCGGUGCGGCAAGUCGGAAGUGAAAUCUCCGGGCUUAACUCGGGGGCUGCUUCCGAAACUGCCGUGCUCGAGUGCGAGAGAGGCGGGUGGAAUUGCAGGUGUAGCGGUGAAAUGCGUAGAUAUCUGCA
rnacentral:rRNA from 1 species